rnacentral:rRNA from 1 species
GACGAACGCUGGCGGCGUGCUUAACACAUGCAAGUCGAACGAUGAAGCCGGAGCUUGCUCUGGUGAAUUAGUGGCGAACGGGUGAGUAACACGUGAGUAACCUGCCCUUGACUCUGGGAUAACUGCUAGAAAUGGUAGCUAAUACCGGAUACGACCCUCGGAGGCAUCUCCUGGGGGUGGAAAGAAUCUCGGUUAAGGAUGGACUCGCGGCCUAUCAGCCAGUUGGUGAGGUAAAGGCUCACCAAGGCGACGACGGGUAGCCGGCCUGAGAGGGUGACCGGCCACACUGGGACUGAGACACGGCGCAGACUCCUACGGGAGGCAGCAGUGGGGAAUAUUGCACAAUGGGCGCAAGCCUGAUGCAGCAACGCCGCGUGAGGGAUGACGGCCUUCGGGUUGUAAACCUCUUUUAGCAGGGAAGAAGCGAAAGUGACGGUACCUGCAGAAAAAGCACCGGCUAACUACGUGCCAGCCGCCGCGGUAA